UACGGGGGGGGCAAGCGUUGUUCGGAAUUACUGGGCGUAAAGGGUUCGUAGGUGGCCAACUAAGUCAGACGUGAAAUCCCUCAGCUUAACUGGGGAACUGCGUCUGAGACUGGAUGGCUUGAGUGCAGGAGAGGAACGCGGAAUUCCAGGCGUAGCGGUGAAAUGCGUAGAUAUCUGGAGGAACACCGGUGGCGAAGGCGGCGUUCUGGACUGCAACUGACACUGAGGAACGAAAGCCAGGGGAGCAAACGGG
rnacentral:rRNA from 1 species